AUUUCUUCUUGGUAUAGUUUUAUAGAGUCUGAUAUAUCUUCAAUUUCAGCAAACUCAUUGUGAGCAUAUUCAAAUUUUGGUGGAUUUCUAGCCUUGAGUAUGCUCCUGUCUAGGAAUGGAGGGACUUUGAUUGGUACACCUCUGGCUGUUUCACCCCAAGAAUUCACAAAUUCCAUUGCUCCAAUUCCAUCAAACAUGCAAUGGUUCAAGGUACACCUCUAGCAGUUUCACCCCAAGAAUUCACAAAUUCCAUUGCUCCAAUCCCAUCAAACAUGCAAUGGUUCAUGCACAAACCAAGCACAAAUCCCCCACAUUUGAACUUUGUCACCU
rnacentral:lncRNA from 1 species